CGACUACAGUCAGAGUUUGAUCCUGGCUCAGGAUGAACGCUGGCGGCGUGCCUAACACAUGCAAGUCGAGCGAGAUAUCCAUGACGAAUUCUUCGGAUGCCUGAAUGGAUGGAAAGCGGCGGACGGGUGAGUAACGCGUAGGUAACCUGCCCUGUACAAGGGGAUAGCCACUGGAAACGGUGAUUAAUACCUUAUGACACCGCAGCAUCACAUGGUGAAGCGGUCAAAGAUUUUAUCGGUACAGGAUGGACCUGCGUCUGAUUAGUUAGUUGGCGGGGUAACGGCCCACCAAGGCGACGAUCAGUAGCCGACCUGAGAGGGUGAUCGGCCACAUUGGAACUGAGACACGGUCCAA
rnacentral:rRNA from 1 species